CAGAGUGACAACUAAAUGGGGUGGAAAAAACUGUUUCCUUAAGGUCUUAACUUUGGUGAAAGAGAAUGGAAGUUAAAAGCAGUGUCUUUAUCACCAUUUGCUCCAGGAUAUAAGAAAACUUUGUGCAGGUCCCCAUGACUCAGAGCUCACAAGUUUUGUUUUACUCUGAUACUUUUGCAAAAUUGAGAUUCAUGGAAAGGACUCUACCAAGUACUCUUGGCCACUGACAGAGCUGCCACGUUAGAAGUUGUCAAACCUCAGGUGCAUAUUUAACAGUCGAUGAAGGCACCACCAUCAUCUGUUCCUGUACAAGUGCUGGAGACCUCAAAAUGAAAUUGACUAAGAAGAGAAGUAGCUGACAUCAAUGCAGACUGCUUCCUCUCAAGACACUGGGUCAAGAACAUUUCUUUCCUUUCCUCCUUCCCACUCUGAUCAUUUCACUAGGAAGGAAGGACUCUUGAAGACUCUUUAAAUUUUUUUGUCCACCUUUUGCCUUGAUAUGACCUGGGAAUAUAAUGCUAUUGUUCACAUAUCUCAGGCCACUGCAAAGUGGGUUAUCCAACCUCCAAACAAUUGUUGGAUUUGCCACAAUACUGAUGAUCCUGUAGUUUUGCUCAUCACAAAACUUCUCCUUGAUUUCCAAUGCCUGUUUUUCUGGAACAAACUUAAAUUUCCUCACCCUGGGUGCCCAUUACCAUGUCUCUGGUUAACAACCCAGGGAACCUUGUAUCCAGGCUCUGUACCCCCAAAAAAAUGGGGUGGGAAGAGGAGCAGACAAGGCAAGGGUAGGUCUACAGAUCCUUAAGUUUGCUGGCCUCUGUGGCUGCCACAUUUCCAGUCCCAAGCCAUGGACUCAAACAGGAAAUAUCAGGAGGCAUUCUUGAUUCAAAAUUAGUGUUAGCUUCCUUUGGCAGAUCCCUACUCUCCUGGACAGGAGUAAAUGCAUGUGAGGCUACAAUCAGGAACCUCUUCUUAACUCUUAAAGCUAUUGCACAACCUGAUGCUAAAGCAAUAGCUACCCACCACACCUCCUUAGUCUCUUUGGCCAAAGUUGUUCUUGAUGAUAGGAUAGCCCUUGAUUAUAUUUUCACUGAGUAGGGAGGUAUUUGUGCUGUGGCAACACCACUUGCUGCACUUGAAUUGACACUUCUGGGGAGGGUGAGACUUUGCUAGCCAGCUAGCUUUAACAAGUGGCUCUUUCAGUGGGGUCUUUCUUUGACUAACUUGAUUCUGAAUGGUUUGGGAAUCAUGGCUCUGAAGUGCACUCCAGACAUGGGAAUUAUCCUGCUUAUGGUAGUCUCUCUGGUUCACUGUAUUCUCUUGAAAGUUUUAAAUGCACAUUCAGAGCCACUAACCACUAAGCAAAUGAUCUCCGUAAAACUGUAACAUCAGAAAAGGAAUGAAGAGAAUGAGCAACUUAAAUAAUGUGAACCAGAUGUCACGGCCUAUGAGUAUACCACACAGAAAUUCAGGGAAAGGAAAAAAAAAGGUGAGAACUACAGAGUGGUAGCUGGGAACAGCACUGAGGCCUUAAAUUUUGAUUACAUCUGACAGUUAAGUCUGAGAGUCUCAUCAAAGAGUUGUGGGGCGGGGGUGGGGGGCAGGAAAUUUUUAAAAACAAGACAAAAGAGGCAAAAUAGAGUCACUUAUGUUAAGCCCCAUGUCACCAAACCAAGAUUUAAUUGUAGUUUUGGCUCUCUUAGAAAUUGAGUCAUAAACCAGUUAAUCAAAAAUCAUUUGAUCAAUAGUAGUUUGGUAAUCUGCCUGACAGACCUCUGACCUCCCCUAAGGAAAGUAAACUUGCAAUAACCAACCCACUUUUUGUUUGGUGUAAUAACCUCCUUGUUCAUGUUUCCUUUUGCCUAUAGGAGUUUUUCAUUUCAUACAGCUUCAUGCUGCCAGAUUCAAGAAUCAAUGAAUAAAGCCAAUAAGAUUUUAAAAAUUUA